rnacentral:rRNA from 1 species
UACGUAGGGUGCGAGCGUUAAUCGGAAUUACUGGGCGUAAAGCGUGCGCAGGCGGUUUGCUAAGACAGGUGUGAAAUCCCCGGGCUUAACCUGGGAACUGCGCCUGUGACUGGCAGGCUAGAGUACGGUAGAGGGGGUGGAAUUCCUGGUGUAGCAGUGAAAUGCGUAGAUAUCAGGAGGAACACCGAUGGCGAAGGCAGCCCCCUGGGCCUGUACUGACGCUUAUGCACGAAAGCGUGGGGAGCAAACAGGAUUAGAUACCCGCGUAGU